rnacentral:rRNA from 1 species
GAGGAAUAUUGGUCAAUGGGCGCGAGCCUGAACCAGCCAAGUAGCGUGCAGGAUGACGGCCCUAUGGGUUGUAAACUGCUUUUGUAUGGGGAUAAAGUCAAUCACGUGUGAUUGUUUGCAGGUACCAUACGAAUAAGGACCGGCUAAUUCCGUGCCAGCAGCCGCGGUAAUACGGAAGGUCCGGGCGUUAUCCGGAUUUAUUGGGUUUAAAGGGAGCGUAGGCCGGAGAUUAAGUGUGUUGUGAAAUGUAGACGCUCAACGUCUGACUUGCAGCGCAUACUGGUUUCCUUGAGUACGCACAACGUUGGCGGAAUUCGUCGUGUAGCGGUGAAAUGCUUAGGUAUGACGAAGAACUCCGAUUGCGAAGGCAGCUGACGGGAGCGCAACUGACGCUUAAGCUCGAAGGUGCGGGUAUCGAACAGGAUUAGAUACCCUGGUAGUCCGCACAGUAAACGAUGGAUGCCCGCUGUUGGUACCUGGUAUCAGCGGCUAAGCGAAAGCAUUAAGCAUCCCACCUGGGGAGUACGCCGGCAACGGUG